rnacentral:tRNA from 1 species
GGAGAGAUGGCUCAGUGGUUUACAGCACUGAUUGCUCUUCCAGAGGUCCUGAGUUCAAUUCCCAGCAACCACA